GUCCCCAUCGUCUAGAGGCCUAGGACAUUGCCCUUUCACGGCAGUAACAGGGGUUCGACUCCCCUUGGGGACGCCA
rnacentral:tRNA from 2 species